CGUUACUAACUCCUCCUCAUUUCACAUAUUCUUCCCCGCGCCUCCACACCCUCCCCUCCAAAUGCUCUAUCGGCGGCGCUUCUCAGCCUUGCACCGCCGCCGCACCUUUUGCCGCCGCCACACUGAACCUCCAUUGCACUGAACUUCCAUUGCCCCGUCACACCCCUUCUUGGCUCUUCUAUGUGUGUUGCUCACGUCGUUCCCUUUCGAACCCUAAUGUGCAUUUCUCCGCCACCGUCUUCGUCGCCUUUGUCUACCUUCGCGAUUUUAUAAAACUACAGCACCGAUCGCUCAUUCAGCGGCACUAACUAUAACCAAUGGCGUCCGCCGAGCAGCCAUUGAAGAAGCGAAAGCACAACACUCUCCCGGAAUCCCCACUGCCACACCACCGCCGCUAGCACCGCCGCCACAAUCUCCUCAAACCCUAGCUCGUCCGCGUACUCCUCCUCCUCUGCCUUUGUCACAGGAUGAGGUCGUCACCAAGCAGAGGAACAAAGAUGAGGUUCGAACCAUGUUUGAGAGCUACCGUCGCAUCAAGCUCUUCCUGUCAAAGAAGGAAAGUGAUUUCAUCCAUGACCUUGAACAGAGCUUCUUCGCUCUCGUAAAUGCUUCCAGAGGUUGAUGUGGCACUUUGAUUUGAAGAAGUUCAGGACAAAUGAAGUAAAGAGGGUCAAGAUAAGUUUAGCUUGUGUUUUUGCCUUUAUGGCAAUUGGAUGGCCGUUAAUUAUUUAUAAGACAAGAAUCAUGCGAUGGAUCAAAUUCUGGUUCAUGCCAUGGCUGGGCCUUUUCCUAACAUAUCUUGGGCUAUACUUGAUGAAAGGUCAUGGACAACCGGCACUUCUCUACCUUGUUCCAUGUACCUUAGGUUCAAGAAAAAUGGCAAAGAGUUACUUCAAACAAGAACAUGAUCUUGAGAAGAGAAAAGCUGAGGCUGCUAGGUUAGGGAGAAAUAUUCGGAUCGUAUCCCGGUGAUUGUGGAGAAGGCAGAAAGAAAUGAUAUCCCAAGUAUUGACAAUAAAAAAACAAGAACAAGAAUAAGAACACACUGAAUUUCAUCACUGAGGUUUGCACAAGUGGGAAUCUGAGGGAGUAUAGAAAGAGGCAUAGACAUGUUUCAUUGAAGGCACUUAAGAAGUGGUAAAAGCAGAUUCUUAGAGGGUUGAAUUAUUUGCACACUCAUGAACCUUGCAUCAUCCAUAGGGACUUGAAUUGCAGCAAUGUUUUUGUCAAUGGGAAUGUUGGCCAGUUUGGGUGUUUGAGCUGUGUUUGUAACAUCCCAAAAUUGGGUGAAGAAAGACAAGCUGAGAAAGGAGCCAAGGAAGGAGGAUCUAAGGUUCUCGGCCAAGUUUUGCUGCAAACUAGCUACAUUCUCCCUUAAAGCUUCAUUUUUUAGCUUCAAAAAAAUAGGAUAUUCUUGUUUAAUUGAUUUAGUUGAAUGCAUGUGACUGUAAGUUAAUUAGCAAGUAGGAUAUUCAUACACUAUAUCUUACUCUAAUUACAUGUCGGCACUAAAAACAUCUAGCAAUUUGUUUAGCUUGGCUUGGCUUGGAAAAUAUACACGUUAAGAGAUUUCUUAUUCCAUAAGAUUUGACUACAUGCUCUUUUAAUUAAAUAUUUGUUUGUGAUGAAUUAUAGUUGAUGUAUCAACACACUUUGAUGUAUGGUUGUUACGUAAUAUUAUAGUUGAUGUAUUAAUACA